rnacentral:ncRNA from 1 species
GGAAGAGGCUCAGAAAUGCCGAUGGUCUUUCCGAACUUCGUUUCCGCCUGGAAAAGUGACGGGAUCUUUAUGGAUCAAUGGGGGAGAGCUCAGCGCACCCAAGCCCCUCAGCGACCGCUACCCUAGUCGAACGAACAAGCCCCUAUUCCGUCAUCUCUCGGUCUGGGCCCUUCUCCUACUCUCGCUCUUCGUCGGUUCCCUAGUUGCGGAGCCAGUCAAUUGAUUUCGCCUGCAGGCAUACUCUUAGAAGCGUCGGCUCUUUGGUUCUCGUUCGUUUCAAAACAAUACAUUUAUAUGAGAACCUUUCACGGGCAUUCCUUCCUUGUGUUGAUAUGAUCCCACGUCAGCAAGGCCGUGGGACGGAGUGUCAGCAACGAAAGGCAGCUGUUAGCUUGAUGCCAGAGGACGCGCAAAGAAUGGCGUCGCCCCGCGCGAAGUGGUAAGUGGGUAAGCCGGGCGCUAACACUUCCCUUUUCCCCUCCUUCGUUGGAAGUCGAAACCCGCUAAGGAGUGUGUAACAACUCACCUGCCGAAGCAACUAGCCCCGAAGAUGGAUGGCGCUCUAGUGCCGAGCCUAUACCAGGCCGCUGCCGGCAGAUCACGCAAACACGGGGGUGCUAAGCAACUGCGAGUAGGAGGGCCGCUGCGAUGAGCGUUGAAGGUGUCGGACGUGAGCCCGCCUGAAGCCGUCGCUCGUGCAGACC